rnacentral:tRNA from 1 species
GGCGGUAUAGCCAAGUGGUAAGGCAGAGGAUUGCAAAUCCUUAAUCCCCCAGUUCAAAUCUGGGUGCCGCCU